AUCCCAUGAUGAGGACAGGCGAGUAUAUAUUCUUACAGUCUCUCCCAAGCUUCUGGGAUUCCAUCCCUGUCUGCUGGAAACUUAAAAUUCUUCCACGCAGGGU